UACGUAGGUGGCAAGCGUUAAUCGGAAUUACUGGGCGUAAAGCGCACGCAGGCGGUCUGUUAAGUCAGAUGUGAAAUCCCCGGGCUCAACCCGGGAACUGCAUUUGAAACUGGCAGGCUUGAGUCUCGUAGAGGGGGGUAGAAUUCCAUGUGUAGCGGUGAAAUGCGUAGAUAUAUGGAAGAACACCAGUGGCGAAAGCGGCUCUCUGGUCUGUAACUGACGCUGAGGUUUGAAAGCGUGGGUAGCAAAC
rnacentral:rRNA from 1 species